GUGAGGAAUAUUGCGCAAUGGAGGCAACUCUGACGCAGCCAUGCCGCGUGCAGGAAGAAGGCGCUACGCGUUGUAAACUGCUUUUAACCGGGAAGAAACCCCAGGACGUGUCCUGGGUUGACGGUACCGGAGGAAUAAGCACCGGCUAACUUCGUGCCAGCAGCCGCGGUAAUACGAAGGGUGCAAGCGUUAUCCGGAUUCAUUGGGUUUAAAGGGUGCGUAGGCGGAGCGUUAAGUCAGUGGUGAAAUCCUGCAGCUUAACUGUAGACUUGCCAUUGAUACUGGCGCUCUUGAGUGCGCUUGAAGGGGGCGGAAUGUGCCGUGUAGCGGUGAAAUGCUUAGAUAUGGCACAGAACACCAAUUGCGAAGGCAGCUCACUAAGGCGAUACUGACGCUGAGGCACGAAAGCGUGGGGAUCGAACAGGAUUAGAAACCCUUGUAGUCC
rnacentral:rRNA from 1 species